AUGAACGCUGGCGGCGUGCCUAAUCCAUGCCAGUCGAGCGAACAGAUGAGGAGCUUGCUCCUCUGACGUUAGCGGCGGACGGGUGAGUAACACGUGGAUAACCUACCUAUAAGACUGGGAUAACUUCGGGAAACCGGAGCUAAUACCGGAUAAUAUAUUGAACCGCAUGGUUCAAUAGUGAAAGACGGUUUUGCUGUCACUUAUAGAUGGAUCCGCGCCGCAUUAGCUAGUUGGUAAGGUAACGGCUUACCAAGGCGACGAUGCGUAGCCGACCUGAGAGGGUGAUCGGCCACACUGGAACUGAGACACGGUCCAGACUCCUACGGGAGGCAGCAGUAGGGAAUCUUCCGCAAUGGGCGAAAGCCUGACGGAGCAACGCCGCGUGAGUGAUGAAGGUCUUCGGAUCGUAAAACUCUGUUAUUAGGGAAGAACAAAUGUGUAAGUAACUAUGCACGUCUUGACGGUACCUAAUCAGAAAGCCACGGCUAACUACGUG
rnacentral:rRNA from 1 species